GUGCUUUUUCGAUGUUUUUCCUCUUCUUUUUUAUCAUUUUCCUCCAUUAUUAUCUGUGCACGUUCGUGUAAGGUUCUGACCACCGACAUUUUGUGUGCUGUGGGGUGUUCUGAUGUCCAUAGAAAUAUUGAUCCGUAUGGGUUGGUUUCCUAUGAAUGUUAAUUUUAAUGUCACUGUCUGCAUCAUGUGAGAUUUUUAUGUCCAGAAAGGCUAUGGAAUUUUCUUCUUCCUCAUGUAUGAAUUCUACGUUUCCUGUCUCAUCCAUGGAGUUUAGAUGUUCUGUGAUAAACUGUGUGUGUCCCAUUUUUACUUUCUCCAGUAUGUCGUCAACAUAUCUUUUCCACAAUGUUGGUCGACAGUGCUCCGGGGCCGAUGUAAUGGCUUUUUUCUCCAGGUCCUCCAUGAAAAACCCACACAGGAUGGCCGACAAAUGGUCCCCCAUGGCAAAACCUUCCUUCUGCCUGUAAAUGGUGUUGCAGAAUUGGAAAAAAGAAGAUGUUGCAACAAGAUGAAGAAGUUGGGAUAUAUCCUGUGCUGAUAUUGGACGUGGGAAGUUGGGAGCUGCAGGGCAUCAAAGGAUCCCCACACUGGAUUUUGCAGCCAUGUCUGCCAGCUGCUGACCCUUAGCUCCUCUUGAGUCAUUUUUAGCUGUCACUUCCCCUGUUAGUUGUUGGUUAUUUUUGCCUGUGUGUGUGAAUAAAGAAACAAGAAAUGCAAUGAAUUCAUUUCACAUAUCAAAAGGAAAAUGUUACAAGUGUUUAUCCUGCAGUCCUCCUGCAAUAUGUGUGAGAAUAAAAAAGUGACCAUA